rnacentral:rRNA from 1 species
AAUAUUGGACAACGGGCGAAAGCCUGAACCAGCUAAGCCGCGUGUGUGAAGUAUGUCUUCCGAUUGUAAAGCAAUUGAAGUUGGGAGGACGGGCAGCAAGUUAAUACCUUGCUGCUUUGACGUUACCGACAGACUAAGUAUCGGUUUCCAUCGUGCCAGCAGCCGCGGUAAUACGAAGGGUGCAAGCGUUAAUCGGAAUUACUGGGCGUAAAGCGCGCGUAGGAGGUUGGUUAAGUUGAGAGCGAACGCCCCGGGCUCAACCUGGGAACUGCUUACAAAACUGGCAAGCUAGAGUAUGGCAGAGAGUGGUGGAAUUUCCUGUGUAGCGGUAAAAUGCGUCGAUAUAAGAAGGAACACCAGUGGCGAAGACGACCACCUGGGCUAAUACUGACACUGAGGUGCGAAAGCGUGGGGAGCAAAC